rnacentral:tRNA from 1 species
GCCUGGGUGGCUCAGUCAGUUGAGCAUCUGACUUCGGCUCAGGUCAUGAUCUCACAGUUCGUGGGUUCAAGCCCCGCAUCGGGCU